UCCCUCUUAGCUCAGUUGGUAGAGCGCGUCACUAGUAUAGGGUUUAUUGCAGCGCUGUUUAAUGACGAGGUCAGUCGUUCAAAUCGGCUAGCGGGAA